rnacentral:rRNA from 1 species
CAGUAGCCACGGUAAUACGUAGGUCCCGAGCGUUGUCCGGAUUUAUUGGGCGUAAAGCGAGCGCAGGCGGUUAGAUAAGUCUGAAGUUAAAGGCUGUGGCUCAACCAUAGUACGCUUUGGAAACUGUUUAACUUGAGUGCAGAAGGGGAGAGUGGAAUUCCAUGUGUAGCGGUGAAAUGCGUAGAUAUAUGGAGGAACACCGGUGGCGAAAGCGGCUCUCUGGUCUGUAACUGACGCUGAGGCUCGAAAGCGUGGGGAGCAGACAGGAUUAGAUACCCCUGUAGUCCCUGUCUCUUAUACA